ACUCAAAGGAAUUGACGGGGGCCCGCACAAGCGGCGGAGCAUGUGGCUUAAUUCGAAGCAACGCGAAGAACCUUACCAGGGCUUGAAAUGCGCGGAAAAGCCGGGGAAACCCGGUGUCCUUAGGGGUCGCGCACAGGUGGUGCAUGGUUGUCGUCAGCUCGUGCCGUGAGGUGUUGGGUUAAGUCCCGCAACGAGCGCAACCCCUGUCCUAUGUUGCCAGCGAGUCAUGUCGGGGACUCAUAGGAGACUGCCGGUGUCAAACCGGAGGAAGGUGGGGAUGACGUCAAAUCAUCAUGCCCCUUACGUUCUGGGCUGCACACAUGCUACAAUGGCCGGUACAGAGGGCUGCGAUCCCGCGAGGGUGAGCGAAUCUCACAAAGCCGGUCUCAGUUCGGAUUGGAGUCUGCAACUCGACUCCAUGAAGGCGGAGUCGCUAGUAAUCGCGGAUCAGCAACGCCGCGGUGAAUACGUUCCCGGGCCUUGCACACACCGCCCGU
rnacentral:rRNA from 1 species